GAAUGUAUGGUUUAUUGGUCAGAGUGGUUGUACGGUUUCCAAGAAGAGCGGGUUCAAAUUCCGCUACGUUCA
rnacentral:tRNA from 1 species